rnacentral:rRNA from 1 species
CCUACGGGUGGCAGCAGUGGGGAAUAUUGCACAAUGGGGGAAACCCUGAUGCAGCGACGCCGCGUGAGUGAAGAAGUAUUUUGGUAUGUAAAGCUCUAUCAGCAGGGAAGAAAAUCGCGGUAACUGGCUCAUGAUGCCCGGGCUACCUACGUCCAAGCACCCCCGGUAUUAGGAAGGGGGCAGGGGUAUCCGGGUUUUCUUGGUGUUAAGGGGGCUUAAGUGGGAGGGGCAGGACGGAGGGGAAAGGCUGGGGUUAAACCCGUGAACUGCUUUUGGAACUGUCAGGCUGGAGUGCUGGAGAGGUAAGUGGAAUUCCUAGUGUAGCGGUGAAAUGCGUAGAUAUUAGGAGGAACACCGGUGGCGAAGGCGGCUUACUGGACAGAAACUGACAUUGAGGCUCGAAAGCGUGGGGAGCAAACAGGAUUAGAUACCCUAGUAGUC